UACGGAGGGGGCUAGCGUUGUUCGGAAUUACUGGGCGUAAAGCGCACGUAGGCGGCUUUGUAAGUUAGAGGUGAAAGCCCGGGGCUCAACUCCGGAAUUGCCUUUAAGACUGCAUCGCUAGAAUUGUGGAGAGGUAAGUGGAAUUCCGAGUGUAGAGGUGAAAUUCGUAGAUAUUCGGAAGAACACCAGUGGCGAAGGCGACUUACUGGACACAUAUUGACGCUGAGGUGCGAAAGAGUGGGGAGCAAACAGG
rnacentral:rRNA from 1 species